GGUCGGGGAGUGUGAUAGGGAGCAGUCAAGGUGAGGAUUUAAGGAAGGAGGUUAGGAAGAGGCAGAGCUGAAAGGAGCUCUGGAGGGAGAGGCAGAGUUGGGUAUCUGAGGGGGUGCCAGGAGUAGAGGCUGAGACAAGUGUGGUGGGGAUUGUGCUGGAGAGGCACAAGAGAGAAGGGGCUGAGUCACUGGCUGCCUAGCAGUGCUGACCUGCCCUACAGCUCUGUCCGGUUUGGAUUCAUUCAAGUCGCUCUGGCUUGUUAGGAAGGAUUUUGCUGGGCAUUUGAAUGAGGCCAUUUAAAAUUUCACUUAAAAAGAAAUCUUCAUGCAAAUUAUCCCACCCUGACAGCCCUUGACACAGAGUGUGGGAGAGGAAUACUCAUUCCUGCGUCUGUGGCAUCCACGCAAAUAUGGUAUCUGGUCUGCAAGUUCUCAGCACAGCUCCCUGAAGCAAUGGCUUGUGGGACAUUUCAAAAGGCUUCUGUGUGCUCAAGGGAAUUGUGGGAAAAGGGGGAACCAUCCAUCAUCCAUAACACCUGAAGAACAAAGGAAACAGCUUUGGACUGGGGGAGGGAUCCUGACUGAAAGAAUUUCAGCCACAAAGACUGCUGAAACACGUGGUGAGAGAGACUUUGCUUUGAAUUCACUUAGCUUGGUCCAAAUGCUCCUUUUCUACACCCCUAAGGAAGCCCCUCUCCAUCUGAAGAUUGGGUUCUGGGGGGCUUGGAGAUGACAGAAGGAAGAAGAGGAGCUAAUGUCCAGAUCAUUCUUCUCACUUUAUGCAGUAGAUAAUACUGCUGCAGGCUAUAUUAACUCUGUGUCAGGGCUCUAGUUUUUGCAAGGGUGUGGGUUACCUGCCUGAUAGUAGCAUGACUACUGUAAAAACUGUGUUGUCCAGGUAUAAGAAGAGUCAGGGGAAAAGAGUGGAGGGGAAAGAAACUGCGAAACCACCUGAUCAGCAUCCUAUACAGCAAACAGGGAAAGAUUAAGAAUGAGCU